AGUGAACGCUGGCGGUAGGCCUAACACAUGCAAGUCGAACGGCAGCACAGUAAGAGCUUGCUCUUACGGGUGGCGAGUGGCGGACGGGUGAGGAAUACAUCGGACUCUACUUUUUCGUGGGGGAUAACGUAGGGAAACUUACGAUAAUACCGCAUACGACCUACGGGUGAAAGCAGGGGAUCUUCGGACCUUGCGCGAUUGAAUGCGCCGAUGUCGGAUUAGCUAGUUGGCGGGGUAAAGGCCCACCAAGGCGACGAUCCGUAGCUGGUCUGAGAGGAUGAUCAGCCACACUGGAACUGAGACACGGUCCAGACUCCUACGGGAGGCAGCAGUGGGGAAUAUUGGACAAUGGGCGCAAGCCUGAUCCAGCCAUACCGCGUGGGUGAAGAAGGCCUUCGGGUUGUAAAGCCCUUUUGUUGGGAAAGAAAAGCAGCAGGUUAAUACCCCGCUGUUCUGACGGUACCCAAAGAAGAAGCACCGGCUAACUUCGUG
rnacentral:rRNA from 1 species